UACGUAGGGGCUAGCGUUAUCCGGAAUUACUGGGCGUAAAGGGUGCGUAGGUGGUUUCUUAAGUCAGAGGUGAAAGGCCACGGCUCAACCGUAGUAAGCCUUUGAAACUGGGAAACUUGAGUGCAGGAGAGGAGAGUGGAAUUCCUAGUGUAGCGGUGAAAUGCGUAGAUAUUAGGAGGAACACCAGUAGCGAAGGCGGCUCUCUGGACUGUAACUGACGCUGAGGCACGAAAGCGUGGGGAGCAAACAGGAUUAGAUACCCCCGUAGUCCCUGAGCGGG
rnacentral:rRNA from 1 species